GGAAGGCGGCUCUCAUCAUGACUCUGUGGGAAAGAAAAAAAGAGGACUUUUCCUCUUCUAAAAGUACUCCUCAAAUUCUCUCUCUUGGUUCAAAAAUAAAAAAUAAGAAAUAAAAUAAAAAGGUUGUAACAACCUACCCACUACGAACGUUUCUCUCUCUCUCUCUCUCUCUCUCUCUCUCUCCAGGAACCCACUCAACAAAAUACUCUCUUUUCUACCACACGCGUCUCUCUCACCAUAAUAUAACUCUCUUUUCACUUAAUAAAUAGGGGGCCACGUUACAAAUUCUCUGGGCUCUCACCUCACACCUCACACUAACUCAUCCUCUCCAUCUUCCUCAAUCACACCACCGCCACCACAACACCACAAAACCGCCACCAAACAUCUCCGCCACGACCACUGUUCACAAUCUUCUCACCACCGCCUUCUCCGAUUCGCCUCCUCCCUCGCCGGCGAACACAACCACACAACCACCUUCUUCAUUCCGACGAAACUUCCGCUCCACCUCCGCACCAACCUUCUCCUUCGGACACUCUGCAUCCAACCUUUCCUCCACCAGAAACCUCCAUCUCCGCCCUCACCUCGACCAUCACAACUUCCUCCAUCUCCACACCAUCGAUCUCACUCGCCCUAACCACCUAUCAUCUUAAACCUUAAAUCCGCCGCCAUCAUCCUUAGCCCACUUCACAACCACCGUCGCCAAAACCUUCUCCGCCGCGAAGUCUCUCGGCUGCGCCGUCGCCUUCGCACGUCACCUCACUCCUCAUCGGCAAACAAAACCUCAUUUUUCAUCUCCGACAAAAAAUCCUCGCCUCCAGUCCAAGAUCUGACUGCCCUUUAAGCUUUCAUUUCCGUCGCCGGACCGUGGAUUGGAGGAAUCUAUUGACGAAGGAAAAUAACAGAUUAACAUUUUUGGAAGAAGCAUACUCGGUGGCUCCCUUGUCUGUCCCGAAUUGCAAAAUAUUGCGGUUACUUUCAUGAACGACGGAAAAUCCUUUGUACCCGCACUCAAAUCGCUGCCGUGUCAAUAAUAACUUUGGGUGAAGAGGGAAGAGUGAGAGGAGAAUUUCAUAUUCAUGUAUGUUACGCACGAUAUUGGAAAUUGGGUUGGUUUGGAAAAAUCAACUUUGUUAUAAUUUGUUAAAUAAACUUUAUUCCAUCAUCAAAUAAUGAGAUUAGGAAUUUUAUGGGUUAAAUUGUCAAGCCCACUUGCUAUAUACACAUGUACCUAUUUUGAUCAUACUAUCUUAUUACUUUUAUUUUGUUUCUACUCUUUGAAUGUUUGUCUGUACGUAAUUUGUGGCACAACAGAGUGAACAUUGUAAAUAAUCUCA